rnacentral:rRNA from 1 species
CCUACCGGUUCUCGUUAGAUCACCGAAGUCAAGCAUCAUUGGGCGCGGUCAGUACUUGGGUGGGUGACCACCUGGGAACACCGCGUGCCGUU